rnacentral:misc_RNA from 1 species
GAAAUGCGAUAAGUAAUGUGAAUUGCAGAAUUCAGUGAAUCAUCGAAUCUUUGAACGCACCUUGCGCUCCUUGGUAUUCCUUGGAGCAUGCCUGUUUGAGUAUCAUGGAAUCUUCAAAGUAAAUCUUUUGUUAACUCAAUUGGUUUCUACUUUGGUAUUGGAGGUCUUUGCAGCUUCACACCUGCUCCUCUUUGUUCAUUAGCUGGAUCUCAGUGUUAUGCUUGGUUCCACUCGGCGUGAUAAGUUAUCUAUCGCUGAGGACACUGUAAAAGGUUGCCAAGGUAAAUGCAGAUGAACCGCUUCUAAUAGUCCAUUGACUUGGACAAUACUUUUAUGAUCUGAUCUCAAAUCAGGUAGGACUACCCGCUGAACUUAAGC